UACGAAGGGGGCUAGCGUUGUUCGGAAUUACUGGGCGUAAAGCGCGUGUAGGCGGGUCUUUAAGUCAGGGGUGAAAUGCCAAGGCUCAACCUUGGAACUGCCUUUGAUACUGGAGACCUUGAGUCCGGGAGAGGUGAGUGGAAUUGCGAGUGUAGAGGUGAAAUUCGUAGAUAUUCGCAAGAACACCAGUGGCGAAGGCGGCUCACUGGCCCGGAACUGACGCUGAGACGCGAAAGCGUGGGGAGGAAACAGG
rnacentral:rRNA from 1 species